AUGAAGGACCGACGCGGCGGCGCUGGAUUCCCCUUCUCCAUCGGCUGCAUGUCGCAGUCCGCCGUGGCCGUCGCCGACCCGCUCGGUAAGAAGCCACCAGCACCGGCGCCGCAGCCGCAGGCCGACAACCCUUCUUCCUCCACCACGACGACGGCCACCGCACAGGAGAGAGGCGCCGGAGAAGAAAGCAGCGAGGACAAGGCGAGAACCGCGGCGGCGGCGGCGGCAGGGACCGUCACGGCCGGGGUGCAGCGGCUGCUCAGGGGAAUCAAGACCUUCUUCGCGGCGUACGACGUCGAUGAAGAGGAGGACGAGGAGGAGCAGGAGAUCGUGAUCGGGUACCCCACCGACGUGCAGCACGUCGGGCACAUCGGCUGGGACGGCAUCAACAAGGUGGGCGGCAUGGGCGUGGGCGUGGGCAUGGCCGGCGCCUUCUCCCUGCCAUCCUCCCUCUCCCUCCGCCAGCUCGAGACCGCCAUGGACCCCGGCGCCGCAACCACCACCUGCAUCAACUGA
rnacentral:rRNA from 1 species